UGUGGAACCUGAUUUAGUCCUUGUUGUUAUUAAUGGCUGACACUAGUGGUUUGUGCAUCCAGCUAUAUAGAUUUCUUAGAUAUGUAAUGUUUGAUAUGUGAUUUAACUUAAUACUGUAAUGUACACAUGCAUAGUAAUAGAUGUCGGAACAUGUACUUUCUAGUUUUCAAUGCCUGGUCUUUUUAGUGCUAUGAAUGUCUCUACCGGUGGCAUAACAGAAAACCAAGCUGCUUUUCAGAAGAAACGUCUUUAUAGGCAUUAAUGACCAUCUGUCAUGUUAACAUCCUAGACUCAUCAUCAGCCCUGUCAGUCGUAUAGUAGUCACGAACAUAUGAUAAGGCACAAAAGUACAAAAUAGUGCAUUGAUAUACUAUUGUGAUCAGCCUGGAUGGCACAACAUGAGUGGUAAUAAAUGAUUAAUCAACAUCCUUCUGACCUAUCAGAUUUGGGAGUUUAGCAGCACCCAAGUAAUUAGGUCAUAAUGACCAUAAGUAUAAUUAUUGUCAUUUCUUUAUGAAUACUGCUGAGCACAUAAAAUUUUGAUACUUCUUCCCUGUGGGGAAAUUGCGUGGAUUUGGCAUGUCCCAUCUUGGUCCCCACGAGACACACAGACAUAUACAGGUGAGAGCAGGUCUUGGGGUCAGUUGACAUGUCCCAUCUUGGUCCCCACGAGACACAUAGACAUAUACAGGUGAGAGCAGGUCUUGGGGUCAGUUGACAUGUCCCAUCUUGCUCCCCAUGAGACACAUAGACAUAUACAGGUGAGAGCAGGUCUUGGGGUCAGUUAGCAUGUCCCAUCUUGGUCCCCACGAGACACAUAGACAUAUACAGGUGAGAGCAGGUCUUGGGGUCAGUUGACAUGUCCCAUCUUGGUCCCCACGAGACACAUAGACAUAUACAGGUGAGAGCAGGUCUUGGGGUCAGUUGACAUGUCCCAUCUUGCUCCCCAUGAGACACAUAGACAUAUACAGGUGAGAGCAGGUCUUGGGGUCAGUUGACAUGUCCCAUCUUGGUCCCCACGAGACACAUAGACAUAUACAGGUGAGAGCAGGUCUUGGGGUCAGUUGACAUGUCCCAUCUUGGUCCCCACGAGACACAUAGACAUAUACAGGUGAGAGCAGGUCUUGGGGUCAGUUGACAUGUCCCAUCUUGCUCCCCAUGAGACACAUAGACAUAUACAGGUGAGAGCAGGUCUUGGGGUCAGUUGACAUGUCCCAUCUUGCUCCCCAUGAGACACAUAGACAUAUACAGGUGAGAGCAGGUCUUGGGGUCAGUUGACAUGUCCCAUCUUGCUCCCCAUGAGACACAUAGACAUAUACAGGUGAGAGCAGGUCUUGGGGUCAGUUGACAUGUCCCAUCUUGCUCCUCAUGAGACACAUAGACAUAUACAGGUCAGAGCAGGUCUUGGGGUCAAUGUACAGGCUCAGCCAAUGUCAAGUGGCCCUGGAGUAAUAGAGUCUAAGUAACAGCAUUCUACCGGCUACUGCAUAUCCAUCACAGCCACCACCUUAAUGAACAUACAGUAAUGUAUUAUGUGUUAGUCCUGCUUGUGAUUGCAUUUUAAGAGGUCAGUUUGGUUGUUCAUC